rnacentral:rRNA from 1 species
UACGUAGGUGGCAAGCGUUAUCCGGAAUUAUUGGGCGUAAAGCGCGCGCAGGCGGUUUCUUAAGUCUGAUGUGAAAGCCCACGGCUCAACCGUGGAGGGUCAUUAGAAACUGGGGAACUUGAGUGCAGAAGAGAAAAGCGGAAUUCCACGUGUAGCGGUGAAAUGCGUAGAGAUGUGGAGGAACACCAGUGGCGAAGGCGGCUUUUUGGUCUGUAACUGACGCUGAGGCGCGAAAGCGUGGGGAGCAAACGGG